rnacentral:rRNA from 1 species
UACGAAGGGGGCGAGCGUUGUUCGGAUUUACUGGGCGUAAAGGGCGCGCAGGCGGCACAUUUUGUCAGGCGUGAAAGCCCCGGGCUUAACCUGGGACUGCGUUUGAUACGGAUGGGCUAGAGUUCGGGAGAGGAGAGUGGAAUUCCCGAGUGUAGAGGUGAAAUUCGAUAGAUAUUGGGAAGAACACCGGUGGCGAAGGCGGCUCUCUGGACCGAGACUGACGCUGAGGCGCGAAAGCGUGGGGAGCAAACAGG